rnacentral:rRNA from 1 species
GACGAGGGGUCCAAGCGUUGUUCGGAAUCAUUGGGCGUAAAGCGGGUGUAGGCGGCUCUAUAAGUCAGAAGUGAAAGCCCCGAGCUUAACUUGGGAAGUGCUUUUGAUACUGCAGAGCUUGAAUGUGGGAGAGGGUAGUGGAAUUCCAGGUGUAGUGGUGAAAUACGUAGAUAUCUGGAGGAACACCGGUGGCGAAGGCGGCGACCUGGGUGGAUACUGACGCUGAGGCGCGAAAGUGUGGGGAGCAAACAGG